rnacentral:misc_RNA from 1 species
GAUGAAGAACGCAGCGAAAUGCGAUAAGUAAUGUGAAUUGCAGAAUUCAGUGAAUCAUCGAAUCUUUGAAAGCACAUUGCGCCCGCCAGUAUUCUGGCGAGCAUGCCUGUUCGAGCGUCAUUUCAACCAUCAAGCCCCAGGCUUGUGUUGGAGCCCUGCGGCUGCCGCAGCCUCCCAAAACCAGUGGCGGGCUCGCUAUCACACCGAGUGCAGUAGUUUACUCUUCGCUCAGGGCGUGUGGCGGGUGCUAGCCGUGAAACCCCCAACUUCUCAAGGUUGACCUCGGAUCAGGUAGGAAUACCCGCUGAACUUAAGCAUAUCGAUAAGCGGAGGA